UAGAGUGCAGUGGCGCGAUCUCUGCUCACUGCAAGCUCCGCCUGCCGGGUUCACGCCACUCUCCUGCCUCAGCCUCCGGAGUAGCUGGGACUACAGGCACCGGCCACCACGCCCGGCUAAUUUUUUGUAUUUUUAGUAGCGACGGGGUUUCACCGUGGUCUCCAUCUCCUGACCUCGUGAUCCGCCCGCCUCGGCCUCCCAAAGUGCUGGUAUUACAGGUGUCAGCCACCGCGCCUGACCAACAGUAAAAAAGGAUGAGGUGAACUGCCUUGGUCAGACUCUGAGAAAUACUCACAGUUCCUCCUUCCUCCUGGCCAAGUCCUUGAAGAAUCAAAGCAGCAAAUAAACAAGGUGGAACAAGAGUGAAAAUGAGAAUGCAUUUAUCUUCUCCACUGAACGACCCCAAGUCCUGUGUCAGGGCUGAGAUGUUUGAGUUGCUCCCAGUUUUAUGCUACCAUGAAUGAGUUAACACUGAUUGUAGCUGAGACAUCUGCUGCUGUGUUGCUCCUUCAAAGAUCCCAUCAAGAGGUGCAAAAACAAGCUAUGAUUUGCUGACACAUAUCUAUCAAAGGACUCACGUCUAGAAUAUAUAUUGCAGUGUAAAA
rnacentral:lncRNA from 1 species